CCUACGGGGGGCAGCAGUGAGGAAUAUUGGUCAAUGGGCGCGAGCCUGAAACAGCCAAGUCGCGUGAGGGAAGACGGCCCUACGGGUUGUAAACCUCUUUUGCCGGGGAGCAACGGGCGCCACGUGUGGCGCCACUGAGAGUACCCGGAGAAAAAGCAUCGGCUAACUCCGUGCCAGCAGCCGCGGUAAUACGUAGGAUGCGAGCGUUAUCCGGAUUUAUUGGGUUUAAAGGGUGCGUAGGCGGAGCGUUAAGUCAGUGGUAAAAUUGAGGGGCUCAACCCCUUCCCGCCAUUGAAACUGGCGCUCUUGAGUGGAAGAGAAGUAGGCGGAAUGCGUGGUGUAGCGGUGAAAUGCAUAGAUAUCACGCAGAACCCCGAUUGCGAAGGCAGCAUGCCGGCUUCCUACUGACGCUGAGGCACGAAAGCGUGGGGAGCAAAUAGGAUUAGAUACCCUGGUAGUC
rnacentral:rRNA from 1 species